AUGGGAAAAGGAGACCCAAGAGCUGUGGUCGAGAAGAAGAUACUUCUGUGGGGACUUCUCCUCUGUCUGGUGACAGGCCCCCUGGGCGCUGUGUCUGCUCUGACCCUGCUGGAGUCGGGCCCAGGCCUGGUGAAGCCAUCCCAGACCCUCUCCCUCACCUGCUCUGUCUCUGGGACCUCUGUCACCAGCAGUUACUAUUGGUAUUGGAUCCGCCAGCGCCCUGGGAAAGGGUUGGAAUGGAUGGGGUACUGGUCAGGUAGUACCAGCUACAACCCAGCGUUCCAGGGGCGCAUCUCCAUCACGGCUGACACCUCCAAGAACCAGUUCUCCCUGAAGAUGAGCUCAGUGACCCCCGAAGACACAGCCAUGUAUUACUGUGCGAGAGACACAGACAGGUUCUCUCUGCAUCACGAGUACAUAGAAGUUUAUCCCUCCAAUGACCCAAAAGUCAGUCUCCUGGAAUCCUCAGGACUACAGAUGGAUUAA